rnacentral:tRNA from 1 species
GCGCCACUCUUGUUCAGUUGGUAGAGCGCAACCUUGCCAAGGUUGAGGUCACGAGUUCGAACCUCGUGUGUCGCUCCA